GCGGUAAUACGGAGGGGGUUAGCGUUGUUCGGAAUUACUGGGCGUAAAGCGCACGUAGGCGGUCCUGGAAAGUUGGGGGUGAAAUCCCGGGGCUCAACCUCGGAACUGCCUCCAAAACUACUAGUCUAGAGUUCGAGAGAGGUGAGUGGAAUUCCGAGUGUAGAGGUGAAAUUCGUAGAUAUUCGGAGGAACACCAGUGGCGAAGGCGGCUCACUGGCUCGAUACUGACGCUGAGGUGCGAAAGUGUGGGGAGCAAACAGGAUUAGAUACCCUGGUAGUCCACACCGUAAACGAUGAAUGCCAGUCGUCGGCAAGCAUGCUUGUCGGUGACACACCUAACGGAUUAAGCAUUCCGCCUGGGGAGUACGGUCGCAAGAUUAAAACUCAAAUGAAUUGACGGGG
rnacentral:rRNA from 1 species